CAAAUGGUGGAGGAGCUGGGUUUGAACCCAGGUCCUGAAAUCCCUCGUCCAGAAGCAGUGAAUCAUCUCAGACGUGAGCCAAGGUUGCCAUGCAGGCGCCAAGAGCCUCGGAGAUGUAGCUGUUCAGGGGAAAAGCUUAGAUCCAUCUGUUUCAUUUUAACCAUUCUCCCUAUAUGCCUAUCUAAUCUCCAGAGGACCUCGACCAUCCAAUCUGGACCCACUGAGAGGGCGAGACUUCCUCGAGCUCAGUGUAGGAGCCACACACACACCCAGCCUUCCGGGCCCCUCCUCCUUGAGGCCCCCCUCCAACUGCAGGAGGGGCUUUCAAAGACUGAAGUUCCCCAAAUAACCCUCCUUCCCAUGUUGUUAUUCUUUAAGGGAAAUGUCUACAGAAAAUAAAAACCACUUGGCAGCGGCUGUUCUUGGAACAAAAGGCAGCGAUCUGUGCGGGAAGCUGCCCAAGGUGGUUUUCCCUGAAGGGCCAAGCCUUUGGCAUUCACGUGGUCAGUGCCCUUCACCCUCACCUUCCAUGGAAGCCCUGCUCCGGGAUGCCAGGACUUGGCCUGGAGGGACGUGCACCACUGGGAGACAGUUGGCUCCACAGCACGGCUGGUCCCUCAGAAGUGCAGGGGCUCUGCAGGCUCCUCUCUCUGCCCAUCACUUGUCAGGUCCACUUGACUGGUUGUCUCCAACCUUCCAAGCCAUCGUCCAACCAGGCCCAGCAGGUGCCUCCAGCCCUGGGACAGCUAUGCAGGCCUGGAGACUGGCCGCACCCCCUGGCCUGCUCUGCCCGUCCGCUGGGCAGCCGGCCUUCCUUUUCAUCGGAGCUGCUGGAGGCCUACAGGCAGCUUACAGGAAACGGUGCCUGGAGAAACAAGAGGCCUUUGAAGCACAAGGAGAACUGGAUUCAGAGGACGUGAAAAUUAACCUGGUUUUGCCGUGUUCCUGGGCACCUGCCUCCAUGCACACCUGAGUUCAGGAGCCAUGUCCCUCCACUAGAGGGCGGGCAUCGUAGACGCCUGCUACGCCACCUGGGCUGUCGCGUGUGUUCCGGCCUCAGCCCUGGAGAAGGAGGCAGAACAUUCUGGUAGCAGAGUAACCCA
ensembl:lncRNA